rnacentral:rRNA from 1 species
AUUUCAGAGGAAGUUACCUCAUAAAUGACAACCAGAAAGUGAUUCUUACCUUAGCUAAAAGUUUAUAUAUCGCCGUCUAGUACUCUUCUUUGAAGGCUACAAAGUGCUUAUGGCAAGAAGACAGGCCAUGAUGUAGCAUAUGUUAAGGACAUUAAGGUGAGUUACAAUAAGAAGCUCUUUCCGAAUUCUACUUAGAAAAGAUUGAAGAUGGAUUUGAAAGUAAUAAUUAAAACAAAUAGUCUAUGAAUGUUUCUAGGCUCGUGUACACACCG